CCUGCUUUUGUGGGGUGCUCGAGUGGCGAACGGGUGAGUAACACGUGAGUAACCUGCCCUUGACUUUGGGAUAACUUCAGGAAACUGGGGCUAAUACCGGAUAGGAGCUCCUGCUGCAUGGUGGGGGUUGGAAAGUUUCGGCGGUUGGGGAUGGACUCGCGGCUUAUCAGCUUGUUGGUGGGGUAGUGGCUUACCAAGGCUUUGACGGGUAGCCGGCCUGAGAGGGUGACCGGCCACAUUGGGACUGAGAUACGGCCCAGACUCCUACGGGAGGCAGCAGUGGGGAAUAUUGCACAAUGGGCGGAAGCCUGAUGCAGCAACGCCGCGUGCGGGAUGACGGCCUUCGGGUUGUAAACCGCUUUCGCCUGUGACGAAGCGUGAGUGACGGUAAUGGGUAAAGAAGCACCGGCUAACUACGUGCCAGCAGCCGCGGUGAUACGUAGGGUGCGAGCGUUGUCCGGAUUUAUUGGGCGUAAAGGGCUCGUAGGUGGUUGAUCGCGUCGGAAGUGUAAUCUUGGGGCUUAACCCUGAGCGUGCUUUCGAUACGGGUUGACUUGAGGAAGGUAGGGGAGAAUGGAAUUCCUGGUGGAGCGGCGGAAUGCGCAGAUAUCAGGAGGAACACCAGUGGCGAAGGCGG
rnacentral:rRNA from 1 species